GGUUUAGGGCUUUUAAUUUGCUUCUUCCUUCCCAUCUCGUUUGUGUGAUUUAUACCACGUAUUGAAGACGUCAGAUGAUGUUGCAAACCCUAGAUCUUGUCUGCUUUCAUGCUUUUUUUUUUCUCCUUCUCUUGCUUCGUGCAAUUUAUACGAGGUGUGAAGACAUCAGGUAAUAUUGCAAACCCUAAAGUCUCCCCUGCUUGCGUGCUUUUAGUUUUCUUCUUCCUUCCCAUCUCUUUUGUGCGAUUUAUACCACGCAUUCAAGAUGUCAGAUGAUGUUGCAAACCCUAGAUCUUGCCUGCUUUAAUGCCUUUAAUUUCCAAUUAAAACGAUGCUGCAAACCCUAGAAUUUCAUGUGCUUUGUACUUUUUCAAAUAUUAGUAUCUGUUCUAAUUCAUCUCUGGAUAUCUAGCUUCUGUUCUUUCAAUUUUCAUCGUCAUGGUAAUUCGAUGUGCUUUUUUUCUCCACUCUUUUGAUAUAUUGCCCAUGAUCAGCAGUAGAACUUCAUUGGAGCACCGACAAUUUUUUUUUUUAAAUUCAUUUCUGAAUAUCUUGCUUCAGUGUUCCAUUCGUUUGUCCAUGCUUAGAAUCCUCUUUAUGCCGUUUUGGGUGAUAACUGUGGAUGCGAAGAUUUGUAUUUUUAAAGAUUUGACACCUUAUUGUUGGGUUCGAUUUUGAAAUCUGUCAACAUUUUAGAAAUUUGCAAUCUUAUAACAUGGCAUUUGCCUCCUCUGCCACUUCGAUCGAGCAUUUGGCCUUAUCUUUUAUCCUCUUUGGCAUGGAGGGCUAGCAGCUAGCUGUCAUUUCUUCUUACUGGAUAGAUGGUUGGUAUAGGUGAACUGAUAUGCUUGAAUAGAAAUUUGACUUAGAAUGGAAAAUUAACUAAACAAUCUUCUAUAAUGUGAUCACAGCCCACUGAAAUAUAUGCUUCAGUUGAAACAGAUUAAUUGUUGCCUUGGAUAUGUAGAUUGCUAAAAAUUUACAAUGGGUAUGACUUGAUUGAGAAAUGUGAAGUGGGGCUUGUGACUCCAAUAAAUGAUGCUUGCUCAGAAACACAUUACUUGAUUUACAGAUUCAUCUACAUUUUAAAGCAGUAGGUUUAGGAAUAUGGUUCAGAAUUUUAUAAGACUUGAUUCAAGACCCUCCAGAAUUUUAUAAGACUUAAUAGACUGUUUAUUAAAGGAUGUGAUUUUUCUUACGAUGGCAUAAGUUCAGUUGAUAGAGUAAAGAAGUAAUCAUUUAGCUGCACAAUUUAUCAGAGAAAUUUCUUGUGGUUAUUCUGAAAAAACAAGAAGGUUAUUCCAUGUCAAUUGGGUGACAUUUCUUUGUCAGAUUUAUUUAUGACUUGAGGCUUGUGCUAAUUGUUUACAUGGAUUUGUAGUUCAUUCAUACCCUGACAUAAUUGUGUUAGAGCUAUAAGUUGGAGAAUAUUUAAUUUGACACCUCUGAUGAAUUGGUCUUCUUCUUUUGCCGACAAAUGAAUUUUUCGUAAGGGCAGAAUGUUUAGCCUAGCAUGAUGUAGAGAGAGUUCAUGAUAGAUGGAAUCUUUAGUAGCAAGAAUCCUUGCACUUAUCGAAUGCAUAGAAGAUAGUUGCUCUGAGUGGAUAAUACUGAGCGGAAAAUAUCAGAUAAAAGUCUAUGAAUUUAAUUUGUCUUUAUUAUUUUUUCUUUUCUGUCAUGUACCAAAUGAGAAUAUAUCAUAAUUUGAUGCAGAUGAAGAUGCAUGACUUAUAUGANNN
rnacentral:lncRNA from 1 species